rfam:Nannochloropsis gaditana CCMP526 unplaced genomic scaffold scaffold577, whole genome shotgun sequence.
GGAGGCGUGGUGUAGUGGUUAUCACGUUUGUUUUACGUACAAAAGGUCGAGGGUUCAAUCCCCUCCGCUUCUA